UCACAUUUCACUUUUUACUGUACAAAAUAAAAUUUAACACAGUAACAAUAACUUUUAGGGCUGUAGUCUCUAUGUUGACUGGUUAGUCAAUAUGCUGUCAUCUGACCAAUCUCUCAAAGGUGUUCUGUAUUUCCCAACUUUAAACUCAGCCAAUUUACAAGACACAGCCAGGUCUACCUUAUAUAACUAGUGUUGCUUUCGUCAACGAAAAUUAUGACGAAAUGUCGUCGUCAACGAACCUUUAUCACUUGACGAAAUCGAGACGAGACGAAACGUAAAUGGUGGUUAUGUGACGAUUACUAUAAUAAAAUAUAUAAUACAAUAUUGUUGACGAAUAAAAACGAGACGAAAUUCGGUUUACAAAAUAAAAACUCUGCUGAAAUGUCUCUUCAUUUUCGUUGACCAAAACGAGACGAGACGAAAUAACAUUUAAAUGUUUAGUCGCGUUUAUUAUUUUGCAGUAUUUCUGUUCCCCAGGAAGUGACAUCGCACUGCGCUGACGCAGGCGACGUCACUUCCUCAAUCUCCACUCGUGGCAUUAUUUAGAUGCAUCUGCGGUGGGAUCAUGGCAGGACACUGUUCCCCAGCUUUCGGGCAGCUGGGGAGAAAACGAAGAAGCGACAUAUGGACAUACUUUGUUUACAUACAAGUGGAAAACAAAACGGAAUGUGUCGUGGAAAAAGACGGGGAGAAAUGCGACAAACUUAAAAAGGCAUCUCAAGAGCUUCCAUGGUGAAAGCGAGAUUCAAGAUAGAUCAUCAGUGAAGCAAGUCCCACCCAAGAAGAAGGACAAGCCAACUAGUGCUCAGGAUUUCUUUGCCACAAGAAGGUACAGUGACAAUUCCCCAGAGCAACAGACCAAAGAGGAGGGGAUAGCACAGUGGAUAGGCUGCACAGGACUCCCAGCACGAAUUGUUGAAGAUGAGGAGUUCAUUGCCAUGAUGGCAAAAAUGGACAAAAAGUUCAAAGUGCCAAAAAGACAUCAAAUUUUAAACUUGAUUGACAAAAUGUACAAAGAAGAGAAAGAAAAGAUCAAACAAAAGCUGGCCACAGCACGCAGAAUUUUUUUGGUAUGUGGCAACCAGUUUUAAAACAAGACAUCCAGGAAGUUACAGUUCACAUAGUUGCUGCUGUUGUAUGCAGUCAGUGCCAUCAGUUGUGGUGUUCUUUUCAGUUUCAGUUUACAAGCAAGAUAACACAGACACAUUUUAUUAUGUUAUUGUUGUGAAUUGCAUUCAUGCACUUUAUUUCUCUUUAUGUUAAACUUGAAUGUAUUUUUUUCCUGCCAGUCAUGUGAUGCUAUUUUAUAUAUUUUAUUUAAAUUUAUGUGUGUGUACCUACAUGUUUGGUUGGUAAAAUAAAUGUGUUGACCAGAGCA